rnacentral:sRNA from 1 species
UGCGAGUCGACAAAAAACGCGAGAUGCGUAUAUUUUGAAGAUAGGGGACAUCCACCUUAACUGGCAGACACGGGAAGUGUCGAUGUUGGGCAAGCUGAUGUGAACAGCGGUUGUCCACA